AACGACUCUCGACAACGGAUAUCUCGGCUCUCGCAUCGAUGAAGAACGUAGCGAAAUGCGAUACUUGGUGUGAAUUGCAGAAUCCCGUGAACCAUCGAGUCUUUGAACGCAAGUUGCGCCCGAAGCCAUUAGGCCGAGGGCACGUCUGCUUGGGUGUCACGC
rnacentral:rRNA from 8 species